GACAGAGGGUGCGAACGUUGCUCGGAAUCACUGGGCGUAAAGCGCGUGUAGGCGGAUAGUCAAGUCAGGUGUGAAAUCCCUGGGCUCAACCUAGGAACUGCAUCUGAAACUGGCUGUCUCGAGUGUCGGAGAGGGAAGCGGAAUUCCUGGUGUAGAGGUGAAAUUCGUAGAUAUCAGGAGGAACACCGGUGGCGAAGGCGGCUCCCUGGACGACUACUGACGCUGAGACGCGAAAGCGCGGGGAGCAAACCGG
rnacentral:misc_RNA from 1 species